UAAGUUAUUAAGGGCGCACGGUGGAUGCCUUGGCACUAGAAGCCGAUGAAGGACGUUACUAACGACGAUAUGCUUUGGGGAGCUGUAAGUAAGCUUUGAUCCAGAGAUUUCCGAAUGGGGAAACCCAGCAUGAGUUAUGUCAUGUUAUCGAUAUGUGAAUACAUAGCAUAUCAGAAGGCACACCCGGAGAACUGAAACAUCUUAGUACCCGGAGGAAGAGAAAGAAAAUUCGAUUCCCUUAGUAGCGGCGAGCGAAACGGGAAGAGCCCAAACCAACAAGCUUGCUUGUUGGGGUUGUAGGACACUCUGUACGGAGUUACAAAGGACGACAUUAGACGAAUCAUCUGGAAAGAUGAAUCAAAGAAGGUAAUAAUCCUGUAGUCGAAAAUGUUGUCUCUCUUGAGUGGAUCCUGAGUACGACGGAGCACGUGAAAUUCCGUCGGAAUCUGGGAGGACCAUCUCCUAAGGCUAAAUACUCUCUAGUGACCGAUAGUGAACCAGUACCGUGAGGGAAAGGUGAAAAGCACCCCGGAAGGGGAGUGAAAUAGAACCUGAAACCGUGUGCUUACAAGUAGUCAGAGCCCGUUAAUGGGUGAUGGCGUGCCUUUUGUAGAAUGAACCGGCGAGUUACGAUUUGAUGCAAGGUUAAGCAGUAAAUGUGGAGCCGUAGCGAAAGCGAGUCUGAAUAGGGCGUUUAGUAUUUGGUCGUAGACCCGAAACCAGGUGAUCUACCCUUGGUCAGGUUGAAGUUCAGGUAACACUGAAUGGAGGACCGAACCGACUUACGUUGAAAAGUGAGCGGAUGAACUGAGGGUAGCGGAGAAAUUCCAAUCGAACCUGGAGAUAGCUGGUUCUCUCCGAAAUAGCUUUAGGGCUAGCCUCAAGUGAUGAUUAUUGGAGGUAGAGCACUGUUUGGACGAGGGGCCCCUCUCGGGUUACCGAAUUCAGACAAACUCCGAAUGCCAAUUAAUUUAACUUGGGAGUCAGAACAUGGGUGAUAAGGUCCGUGUUCGAAAGGGAAACAGCCCAGACCACCAGCUAAGGUCCCAAAAUAUAUGUUAAGUGGAAAAGGAUGUGGCGUUGCCCAGACAACUAGGAUGUUGGCUUAGAAGCAGCCAUCAUUUAAAGAGUGCGUAAUAGCUCACUAGUCGAGUGACACUGCGCCGAAAAUGUACCGGGGCUAAACAUAUUACCGAAGCUGUGGAUUGUCCUUUGGACAAUGGUAGGAGAGCGUUCUAAGGGCGUUGAAGCAUGAUCGUAAGGACAUGUGGAGCGCUUAGAAGUGAGAAUGCCGGUGUGAGUAGCGAAAGACGGGUGAGAAUCCCGUCCACCGAUUGACUAAGGUUUCCAGAGGAAGGCUCGUCCGCUCUGGGUUAGUCGGGUCCUAAGCUGAGGCCGACAGGCGUAGGCGAUGGAUAACAGGUUGAUAUUCCUGUACCACCUAUAAUCGUUUUAAUCGAUGGGGGGACGCAGUAGGAUAGGCGAAGCGUGCGAUUGGAUUGCACGUCUAAGCAGUAAGGCUGAGUAUUAGGCAAAUCCGGUACUCGUUAAGGCUGAGCUGUGAUGGGGAGAAGACAUUGUGUCUUCGAGUCGUUGAUUUCACACUGCCGAGAAAAGCCUCUAGAUAGAAAAUAGGUGCCCGUACCGCAAACCGACACAGGUAGUCAAGAUGAGAAUUCUAAGGUGAGCGAGCGAACUCUCGUUAAGGAACUCGGCAAAAUGACCCCGUAACUUCGGGAGAAGGGGUGCUCUUUAGGGUUAACGCCCAGAAGAGCCGCAGUGAAUAGGCCCAAGCGACUGUUUAUCAAAAACACAGGUCUCUGCUAAACCGUAAGGUGAUGUAUAGGGGCUGACGCCUGCCCGGUGCUGGAAGGUUAAGAGGAGUGGUUAGCUUCUGCGAAGCUACGAAUCGAAGCCCCAGUAAACGGCGGCCGUAACUAUAACGGUCCUAAGGUAGCGAAAUUCCUUGUCGGGUAAGUUCCGACCCGCACGAAAGGCGUAACGAUUUGGGCACUGUCUCAACGAGAGACUCGGUGAAAUCAUAGUACCUGUGAAGAUGCAGGUUACCCGCGACAGGACGGAAAGACCCCGUGGAGCUUUACUGUAGCCUGAUAUUGAAAUUCGGCACAGCUUGUACAGGAUAGGUAGGAGCCUUUGAAACGUGAGCGCUAGCUUACGUGGAGGCGCUGGUGGGAUACUACCCUAGCUGUGUUGGCUUUCUAACCCGCACCACUUAUCGUGGUGGGAGACAGUGUCAGGCGGGCAGUUUGACUGGGGCGGUCGCCUCCUAAAAGGUAACGGAGGCGCUCAAAGGUUCCCUCAGAAUGGUUGGAAAUCAUUCAUAGAGUGUAAAGGCAUAAGGGAGCUUGACUGCGAGACCUACAAGUCGAGCAGGGUCGAAAGACGGACUUAGUGAUCCGGUGGUUCCGCAUGGAAGGGCCAUCGCUCAACGGAUAAAAGCUACCCCGGGGAUAACAGGCUUAUCUCCCCCAAGAGUUCACAUCGACGGGGAGGUUUGGCACCUCGAUGUCGGCUCAUCGCAUCCUGGGGCUGUAGUCGGUCCCAAGGGUUGGGCUGUUCGCCCAUUAAAGCGGUACGCGAGCUGGGUUCAGAACGUCGUGAGACAGUUCGGUCCCUAUCCGUCGUGGGCGUAGGAAAUUUGAGAGGAGCUGUCCUUAGUACGAGAGGACCGGGAUGGACAUACCUCUGGUGUACCAGUUGUCGUGCCAACGGCAUAGCUGGGUAGCUAUGUGUGGACGGGAUAAGUGCUGAAAGCAUCUAAGCAUGAAGCCCCCCUCAAGAUGAGAUUUCCCAACUUCGGUUAUAAGAUCCCUCAAAGAUGAUGAGGUUAAUAGGUUCGAGGUGGAAGCAUGGUGACAUGUGGAGCUGACGAAUACUAAUCGAUCGAAGACUUAAUCA
rnacentral:rRNA from 1 species